GCGUCCCCCAAUUUCCUCACUUGGUAUUGAGGCGGCGGAUCUCGCGAGAACGUCGGGGCUGGCUAACAGGAGCUAUAGCGCUGCAAUGACUUAAGGGCAGUUUUGUGCGCUCUUCCGGAUGGGGGCCCUCCCCCAAACCUACAAAUUCUCGCGAGAUGCAAUAGGCACCGGCUCGAGUUGGGGCGGGCCGUCUCCUGGAAGCACCGCCCCUGAAUGCUUAUGCUGGUGGGAGGGAGAGGAAAUGGAAUUCCCCGGAGUGGUUAGAGCGCGCGCCGACACAUCCGUCUUUCACGCGCCCAAUCAGGAAUGUGCGGUGGGAGGUACCGCGGUUUAAUUACUAGAUACCUCUAGUGGUUGAUCCGGGCUUUUGAAGUUUUCGGUGAAGCAGGUGCUUUUCAAACUGCUGCCUCUGUGUUGGAUCUCAGACCAAGUGAUACAGUGCUCUGAUCCUUUGAGUGGAGUCUUGGUUUCUUAUAGCCUUCUGCCUCUCUUGGAGUUAAGGUAAGCCCUGCUGACUUUCAGAGGCAGUUUUAUGUGGGUUUACUUCCUUUGUGCAGGUCCCCAGAGCCAGAGGUGCCUGAUGUGGGGCUUGAUUCUCCUUGCUCCAUAGAGAGGACCUCCAUUCCUGUGAUAUCCCUCCUGCUUGUGGGUUGCUGUGCCAGGGGUUUGGUUCCUGAGUCUCUGCCCUUUCUACCUUCUGAAUGUGGGUUUUUCUUUAUAUCUCUAGCUGUGGAAAAGCUGUUCUGCUAAUCUUCAGGUUGUUUUCAGAGUGACUUGGAUUAAAUGUAGUUGCAGCCUUGGUGUGUCCCUUGAGGGCUGGUGAGCUCAGAAGCUUUCUACUCUUCCAUCUUCCUUGCAGUUGGUACCUUUUGUAGUGUCAAAUCAACAGCUUUCUCAAAAAUUAAUACUCCCAUCUCAAGAAACUCAAAUGGCAGAAUAAAAGUUUAUAUGCGACAUGGGAAGGAGUACAGAAAAAAGUGAGAGUGGCAUUUUAAAUUUAAUCAAGAGUCAUUCAGCAGGUAUUUAUUGAGCAACUACUAUGCAUUAGCCUCUGAGCAUGGCUUGUGGAAAACGUAGAUGAUUUUCAUACUUUUUUCCCAAGAGUCCUUAGGUCUACAAAACAGGCUGCCUGAGUUAGAGGCUGAAGCCUUGCCCAUUCAGAAUCUUUAUCACUUUUCCUUCUAUCUCCAGUCCCAUACCCACUCAGGAUACCUCAGAUGGUUCUGUGAGUAUCCCUAGUGUUCAAUGAACAGAGUCUGAAAAACCAAUGGUCUAAUGAAUAUUAAUACCAAAGCCUUAUUAUAAUAGUCAUGUUAGGAACAAAUAAUAUGAAAUAUAUUAGAGAUAAGUAUAAAGAUAGGCACUCAGAUGAAGAGAAUCUGGCCUAACAGCAGACAUGUGAUAAAGACAUGAGAAUUGCAGUUGCUUGACAUCUCAAUAUAAACCAGCAAGUGCUUAGGGCUGCCCAAAGAACCUGUACAGUUUUACUCUGAAAGAUGGAAAUAUGUGGGCCAGAACAAAGCAAUUGCUUUGUCCACAUCUCCAUUGGUCAGACCACAGUUUUAAAGUUUCUUUAUAGCUUUAUUGAAGUACAACUGACAUAUGAUACAUUUUAUGUAUUUAAAAUGUACAGUUUGGUAAUUUGACAUAUGCAUAUACCCAUGAAACCAUCACCAAAAUCAAGAUAAUAAACAUAUGCAUCACUACAAGUGUCUGUGUACUCCUUUGUAAACCCUUUCUAUUGUUCCCUCAACCCCUCUCUCCUAUAUCCACAGGAAGCCACUGAUCCGUUUCCUGUCCUGUAGACUAGUUUGCAUUUUCUACAGUUUUAAAUAGAAUCAAACAGUAUGCCCACUGUGACCUUUUUUACUCAACAUAAUUAUUUUGAGAUUUACCUAUGUUGUAUCACUCAAUAGUUCAUUACUUUUUGAUUGUUGAGUAGUAGUCUUUAUGGGUAUGCCACAAUUUCCAUAUCCAUUUACCCAUCAGUGGACAUUCUGGUUGUUUCCAGUUUUUGUCUAUAACAAAUAUAUAUAUAUUUUUUAAGACCCUAUUUAUUUAUUUGACAGAGAGUGAAAGAACACAAGCAAGGGGAACAGCAGAGGGAGAGGAGAAGUAGGCUCCCCACUGAGCAGGGAGCCCAACUCAGGGCUUAAUACCAGGACCCUGGGAUCAUGACCUGAGCUGAAGGCAGACACUCAACUGACUGAGCCACCUAGGCGCCCCUAUAACAAAUACUCUUGUACAAGUGUUUGUAUGGACAUAGGUUUUCAUUUCUUUUAGGUAAAUAGCUAGGAGUGGAAUAGCUGGAUUCUUUGAUAGAUACAUGCUUAACAUUUUAUGAAACUAGCAAGCUGUUUUCCAAGUGGUUGUACCAUUUUACAUUCUUCCCAGCUGUGUAUGAGAAUUCCAAUUCCUCCUGACUUGCUAUGACUUUUCAAUCAGCCAUUCUAAUAUGUAUAUAGUGGUAUAUCUCAUUGUCAUUUUAAUUUGCAUUUACCUAGUAACUAAAGAUAUUCAGCAUGUUUUCAUGUACUGCUUUGCUAUCUAUAUUUCUUCCUUGAAGAAAGGUCUCUAUAUUUUUCCCAUUGUUUAUCGAGUUCCUUUUGUUUGUAUUUAUGUACAGGUGAUACAAAUUAAACAUUUACAGGAGGCUUAGAAGAUUUUGAAAAAGUAAAGUCCUAACAAGGUAACACAUACAUGGAGGAAUAUGAAAAAGGCACGAGGGACUCAACUCAUAUUGGCACUGAAAAGCUGCCAAGUUGAUGAAGAUUACAGGACCAAGAUCUAGGAAAGGGAGACAUGUUGGAGAGAUGCUUGAAUAUCUGGGGCCCCCUUUCUGCUGGAGGCAUUGGUCCCUUCCAAAAGCAACUGAGAAGGUAAACAUUUUUUUUUUGCAAGCUCACAGGCCUAGGAGAGGGGGCAGGGAGGUUGAAAAACAAGUUUAGGGGCUCACCAAGGAAGAGAUAAACAUCUCAGCCUUUCAGUUGAGAUCCUGAAGGGUUGCUGCCUAGUAGUCAAAGUGAACCAAAAAUAGAUCAGAACUGGAAGGGACUGAAUCAUCUCUGGCCCUAACUGUGGAGUAUAGUGAUCUGAAUCUACUAAUAGCCCCAGUUGAGCUGCCUAACGGAAGCAAAAGAAAUCCUCUCUAGAGGAAAGUAAUGCUAUCCAGAGCUCCAAAAUACUUCUGCAGUAUUUUGUAUAUAAUAUCCAGCACACACACAAAAUAAUCAGGUAUAUGAGAAGGUAUGACAAAACCAAAGAAGCAACAAUUCAUAGAAACAAAAUCCACAGGGAUUAUGAAACAAAGAUUUUUAAAUGCUGUUUAAAAUGCUCAGGAACUUAAAAUAUAAGAAUAAGAAUGUGUGUAAAGAAUGGAAACACAAACAAAUGGAAAUUCUAUUGUUGAAAGACCUCCAACAAAUUAAAAACCCAGUGGAUGGACUUAAUAGUCAAUUAUAUAGAGCUGUAGACAAAAUUAGGGAACUGGAUGAAAUUCAGAACAAAAUGCUCAGAUUUACAGAGACAAAAGGAUGAAAAUAUGGAAAAAAAUUUUUUUAAAGUGAAAGAGACUUAUGGUAUAGAAUUUUAAAAAAAAGUUUAAUAUAGUUAUAAUUAAGACCCAUAAGGAGAGGAAUGAGAGAAUAUAACAAAGUGACACCUGAAGAGAUGUCUAAAGUAAGUAAAAGGCAUCAUACCUUGGACUGAAGAAACAUUAUAAACCUUAAGCAAGAAAAAGGCAAAGAAAACCACACCUAAGCACAUCGGAGGAAAACUGCUGAAAACCAAAGAGAAAAAUUUUAAACAUCCACAGGAAAAAGGCAAAUACUUUAAAUGAAUGACAUUAUGAAUGUUAUUCAAAUGAAUGACAGUAAGACCACUGCUUUGAAACCAAAAUGAUGCUAUCUUUAGAGUACCAAAGGAAAAUAUCAACUUAGAAUUUACGUUCAAACAAUAUAACUUUCAAAUAUUGAGACAAAAUAAAGACAUUUUCAAACAAACAGAAAUAGAAUUUGUCACCAGCAUUUCUGCCUUACAAGAAAGAGUGGACCUUGGAUGGAGAGAAAUGAUCUCGGAUGGACGCUCUCAGAUUAUGGAAGAGAUGAAGAGCAAUGACAAGGAAAAAUAUGUAGGUAAGUCUCAAUAAAUAGUAACUUUACAAAACAAUGCUAAUAUACCGUGAUGUUAAAAACAUACAGAUUUAAAAACAUAACACAGUAAUUGAGAAAAGAAGGUAAAUAGACUUACAGUGGUCCAAGGUGUUCUCAUUGUCCAGCAAGUGGAUAAAGUACUAAUAUAUAUUAGGCUUUUAAAAGUCAAGGAUAUACAUUCUAAUUUCUAGAGGAGUUAAGAAUAUUAAAAGAACAUAAAACCAAAAAGCUAAUCAAAAGAAAACAAUGAAAUUAACAACAACAACAACAACUUGAACAAUCCCCAAGAAAGUAGAGAAAAAAGAAUGAGGAACAGGUGAGACAAAAACAGCAGGACGACAGCUUUAAAGCCAAUAUUAUCAGUAAUUACAUUAAAUGCAAACUGAUUAUCCCAAUUCAAAGACAAAGACUUUCUUGGAUUUAUAAAGGUACACCUUUAACCUGUUAAAAGAGACAAAUCUUAAGUAGUAGAAUGCAGAAAACCUUAAAGUAAAAAGAUACAUCAUGCAAAAACUAACAAAGAUGGUGUGAUUAUGCUAAACCCAAGUAGAUUUUAAGCAAGAAGCAAUACAAGAGAUGAAAAGUUCACCACUGGCACCUGGCCAGGUUGGUUGGUUGAUAAAGCAUGGGACUCCUGAUCUCAGGGUCAUGAGUUCAAGCCCCUUGUUAGGCAUGGAAAAAAAAAAAGUUCAUGUAUCCAAGAGUCCUAACAGGAAACAAAUGAUACACUCAGGAUCUUAAAGAAGGUUUACUUAUAAAGAGACUAAGUACAAAUUGUGUGUAGGGUAUAAGAGAAUUACAAGGAUAGGCUCCAAGAGACAGAAAAGGAAAACACUAUUCAGAACCAGGAAGGAGAGAGAAUUGUGAAGAGUUCACUUUGACAGAGGCAAUGACCUCAGGUCAAGGUAUACAUCCACUUCCAGGUAACCUCUACUGGAAGGAGCCAGAGGGAAUAAAUAUGCUUACCUCACUUUUUUCCUCUAUGCAGUCUCCACCCAUCACUACAAAAUCAUCAUGGGGUGGUGUCAUUUGGUCCUGAAACCAUAAACAUUAGUCACCCUAGAAGUCUUCCUAUAUGGUAUGGGAGAAAAGAAACAAUUUCCAAAGCAGUGUCAUAAAACAUGCUUUUUAGCUGCUCGUGAGGCCUAGAUUCAUAAACAUAGUUUCUCUUUCACCAUCCAUUCUUGGUUUCUCUCACUUUUUGCUUGUACCUCACCCGAAUGGGGUUCUUUUUUUUUUUUUUUUUAAGAUUUUAUGUAUUUAUUUGAGAGAGAGGGAAGAGGAGCAAGAGAGAUAGUGGGGAGAGGAGCA